UAGCAGGAGACUACAAAUAGGAAGACUACUUAUGCUAUGAAUUAAUGUAUGGAAAAGGGGUAUGAUUAUACAAGUUAAACUUCAUCAUACUCCUUUUCAGACUUACAGUCACCGAAUAAGUGGUGGA